GGCAAGUCUGGUGCCAGCAGCGAGGGAAGGACAGCUCCAAUAGCGUAUAUUAAAGUUGUUGCAGUUAAAAAGCUCGUAGUUGAAUUUCGGGGUUAGUCUCUCUGGACAUGCCUCCGGUAUGUACUGAUCUCACUGAUUCCUCCUUCCUUAUGAACCGUAAUGCCAUUAAUUUGGUGUUGCGGGGAAUUUGGACUGUUACUUUGAAAAAAUUAGAGUGUUUAAAGCAGGC
rnacentral:rRNA from 1 species